AGCCACAGCCAUAUCACCCUGCAGCCCAAGACCGGCUACUCACUGAAGCUAAGCAGACCUGAGCCUGGUCAGUACCUGGAUGGGAGGCCAUUAGGGAACACUAGGUUGCUGUCGGAA
ensembl:rRNA 5S_rRNA 5S ribosomal RNA